rnacentral:rRNA from 1 species
GAUGAACGCUAGCGACAGGCCUAACACAUGCAAGUCGAGGGGCAGCACAAGGAGCAAUCUGAGGUGGCGACCGGCGCACGGGUGAGUAACACGUAUGCAACCUGCCUGUAAGAGGGGAAUAACCCGGAGAAAUUCGGACUAAUACCGCAUAAUACCACGAGACUGCAUGGUUUUGUGGUUAAACAUUUAUGGCUUACAGAUGGGCAUGCGUAUGAUUAGCUAGUAGGUGAGGUAACGGCUCACCUAGGCAACGAUCAUUAGGGGUUCUGAGAGGAAGGUCCCCCACACGGGUACUGAGACACGGACCAGACUCCUACGGGAGGCAGCAGUGAGGAAUAUUGGUCAAUGGGCGAGAGCCUGAACCAGCCAAGUCGCGUGAAGGAAGAAGGUUCUAUGGAUUGUAAACUUCUUUUGUAAGGGAAUAAAAAGUGGUACGUGUACCAUAUUGUAUGUACUUUACGAAUAAGGAUCGGCUAACUCCGUGCCAGCCGCCGCCGUAAAAC